rnacentral:lncRNA from 1 species
CCGUGUCACCCCCAAGGAGGCUCAGAAUGAGCGCCGGGACAACGCCUCCUGGGCCCUUUGUUCCCAAGCGGCCCCCGCCCAGUGGGCGACGCUCUGUGUGUCCUCGCCGGCCCUGUUUUUGUUUGAACGUUUUGUAACGAUUAAGCAGAUCCCGGCGUCAGCCCGCCGCGGAGAGGCUCAAACAGGCAUAAAGUGCGACCCCAAGUGGCCACUGUGCGCAAAGGCGCCG